AUCCUUGGGAGUGCGUCAUUAGACUGGAGUCCAGGACCUCCUGACUACUCUGUAGGAGUCUGAGGUGCGACUGUAAGACGUGUGCUGUAAAGUGAGUGCAUCCUGUAUCUGGUAGGCCAAUCUCGGAGAGAUUAAGAUACCACUCUGGAAGGAGAGCUGGACAUCCGAGCCCCAAACUGAAGCUGCCUAGGUAUCCACGUGUCCCAAGUUCUAGCGGAAAACAUAGCGCUCCUGGGAUGGCAGGUCUGUCCUUUGCAGACUCUGCCAGUCUCCAUGAGGGACAUCUUCUACUCCCACCAUCUAGUUUUCUGGAAUCAGUGACCUUCAAGGAUGUGGUCGUGAACUUCACUCAGGAAGAAUGGAAACACUUGGAUCCUACACAGAGAGAUUUGUUCAGAGAUGUGACAUUGGAAAAUUAUACACAUCUGGUCUCUAUAGGGCUCCAGGUUUCCAAACCUGAUAUGAUCUCCCAUCUAGAGCAAGGGACAGAGCCAUGGAUUGAGGAGUCGUGCAUUCCUGUUGGUUCCUUGGAAGGCUUUCGCCUGAUUCUCGGUACCGUGUCGGUGCAGGCGCCGACAACUGGAGGUUCCACCGAGAUUUGAACUUUGAAUCCAGCGAUCCAAGAUCGGGAAGACAAGGUCUCCUGAUGGGACGUCCCGGGAAGCUGGCGCAGAAGCAGGGAUGUAUUGGGGAUGCUACAGGAGUAUGCCAGCUGCCAGAGGUGGUUGGUGAGACUUGCUGAUCCUGAUUACAUGAAGAUUCAGCUCUCCUGGUUCGGGUCCCUGGAGUCAUUCCUCUGCCCUUAGAGGAAGAUGGAGGAUUCCCCCUCAUCUUUUGUCAUCACAGAGAUUUUGGCGUUGCUGCAGUCAGUGUUACCACUGCGUGUGUCCCAUCCCACUGUGGCCUAGACUCAGACCUUCUGUGCACUGCUGCUUGCUGUCGAAGACUGGACUCCAGCCGUUACCCUUGACCCCCUUAUUCCCCUGGCGACUCUUGCUGCCUUAACUGGUGUUGUCAUUUUAGUCUGUAGCUUCACAGGAAUGCCAUCUGUGUGAAGCUGCUGUGGACUGGGGAACUCUGCCCUGGUUGUGCGGAUCUCAGACAAGGUUCCAUUGCCUGCCAGUUGUUCCAGAGAAGAAUGGCCGCUCCUGAACUGUCCUGAGAAAGACUUUGGCAUUUUCGCUGCUAUUGUAGCAGCCAUUACUGCUGCAGCCAUUGUGUCUGCAGUGUCUGGAGUUACCCUCCCCCAAUCUAUUGUUUGGCAAGCACAGUGGGUGAACUUUCUGGAGUAGUUGCUAAAUUUUAUUACAGGAGCCGCUUGAAGGCCCUAGGUGUUAUGGCCCUCCGAGUUUGGCCCUAGGGCCCUUGUGCUUCUUAUCACAUGCACAAACAACACUUCCAGUCCUGGGCAACAACUAAGCAGGUGUUGUUCUCCUUGAUAGGAGACGAACCUUCUGCCCAAAUUGGGUUCAGCCUUUAUGAUAGCUGACAACGAUAGCUGACAACGGACAAUUCUUUGGGACCAGGCUUUGCCUAAGGCAGGACAUUCUGAGGCUGGCAGAAUAUAUUCCAAUGACGGGAAAGAAGCUUGUUAUCUCAAAGCGACCUAAGACAGGCUACUGCUUGAUAUUAAUAUAGGGGGACUUGCUUAAUAAAAAAAAUACAAUAGGGGGACUUGUCAGAGCCUCCUGGGUCCCCUGCAAUGUUUCACCCCACUUGUCAGACCCUUCUGGGUCUCUUGCAGGGUUUGACCCCCGCUAAGCCCUGCUGAUGCAUGUGGAAGCCUUUUGUUCCUAACAAAGGAGCAGUCUGGCCUGGUACACACACCUGGGUGAUGGUCAAUUUGUUCCUGCCUUUUGUCUUCUCGGUCUUUGUCUUUAAGAUUUAGGCUGGCCUUCCUGGAUAUUUCCCUAGUUUAUUCAGGUCGCGUAGUCGGUCUUUUGUUACCGAAGUCUCGAGCCAGGGUUUCCCACUGUGCUUUCCAGAUAUUUUCUACCUGGUGUACUUGGGGUAUAUAUUUUGGUAAAUAAAGUUACAGGAGGCCCUUCCUCUUCUGGCUUGACACG
rnacentral:lncRNA from 1 species